UAUAUUUUAGUGUAAAAGCACAAUAAUUUUUGAAAUUAUUAGUUAUAAAGUAUUAUAAAAUAUAA
rnacentral:tRNA from 1 species